GACGAACGCUGGCGGCGUGCUUAACACAUGCAAGUCGAACGGAAAGGCCCUGCUUUUGUGGGGUGCUCGAGUGGCGAACGGGUGAGUAACACGUGAGUAACCUGCCCUUGACUUUGGGAUAACUUCAGGAAACUGGGGCUAAUACCGGAUAGGAGCUCCUGCUGCAUGGUGGGGGUUGGAAAGUUUCGGCGGUUGGGGAUGGACUCGCGGCUUAUCAGCUUGUUGGUGGGGUAGUGGCUUACCAAGGCUUUGACGGGUAGCCGGCCUGGGAGGGUGACCGGCCACAUUGGGACUGAGAUACGGCCCAGACGGCUACGGGAGGCAGCAGUGGGGAAUAUUGCACAAUGGGCGGAAGCCUGAUGCAGCAACGCCGCGUGCGGGAUGACGGCCUUCGGGGUGUAAACCGCUUUCGCCUGUGACGAAGCGUGAGUGACGGUAAUGGGUAAAGAAGCACCGGCUAACUACGUG
rnacentral:rRNA from 1 species